rnacentral:rRNA from 1 species
AUACCGCAUAAAACCUAGCACCGCAUGGUGCAAGGUUGAAAGAUGGUUUCGGCUAUCACUUUAGGAUGGACCCGCGGUGCAUUAGUUAGUUGGUGAGGUAAAGGCUCACCAAGACCGUGAUGCAUAGCCGACCUGAGAGGGUAAUCGGCCACACUGGGACUGAGACACGGCCCAGACUCCUACGGGAGGCAGCAGUAGGGAAUCUUCCACAAUGGACGAAAGUCUGAUGGAGCAACGCCGCGUGAGUGAAGAAGGUUUUCGGAUCGUAAAACUCUGUUGUUGGAGAAGAACGUAUUUGAUAGUAACUGAUCAGGUAGUGACGGUAUCCAACCAGAAAGCCACGGCUAACUACGUGCCAGCAGCCGCGGUAAUACGUAGGUGGCAAGCGUUGUCCGGAUUUAUUGGGCGUAAAGCGAGCGCAGGCGGUUUCUUAAGUCUGAUGUGAAAGCCUUCGGCUCAACCGAAGAAGUGCAUCGGAAACUGGGAAACUUGAGUGCAGAAGAGGACAGUGGAACUCCAUGUGUAGCGGUGAAAUGCGUAGAUAUAUGGAAGAACACCAGUGGCGAAGGCGGCUGUCUGGUCUGUAACUGACGCUGAGGCUCGAAAGCAUGGGUAGCAAACAGGAUUAGAUACCCUGGUAGUCCAUGCCGUAAACGAUGAGUGCUAGGUGUUGGAGGGUUUCCGCCCUUCAGUGCCGCAGCUAACGCAUUAAGCACUCCGCCUGGGGAGUACGACCGCAAGGUUGAAACUCAAAGGAAUUGACGGGGGCCCGCACAAGCGGUGGAGCAUGUGGUUUAAUUCGAAGCAACGCGAAGAACCUUACCAGGUCUUGACAUCCUUUGACCACUCUAGAGAUAGAGCUUUCCCUUCGGGGACAAAGUGACAGGUGGUGCAUGGUUGUCGUCAGCUCGUGUCGUGAGAUGUUGGGUUAAGUCCCGCAACGAGCCCACCCUUAUUACUAGUUGCCAGCAUUUAGUUGGGCACUCUA